UACGAAGGGGGGCUAGCGUUGCUCGGAAUUACUGGGCGUAAAGGGCGCGUAGGCGGAUAUUUAAGUUGGGGGUGAAAUCCCGGGGCUCAACCUCGGAAUUGCCUUCAAAACUGGAUAUCUUGAGUUCGGGAGAGGUGAGUGGAACUCCGAGUGUAGAGGUGAAAUUCGUAGAUAUUCGGAAGAACACCAGUGGCGAAAGCGGACUUCCUGGACCAGAACUGACGAUCAGGCACGAAAGCGUGGGGAGCAAACAGGGAU
rnacentral:rRNA from 1 species